UACGAAGGGGGCUAGCGUUGCUCGGAAUUACUGGGCGUAAAGCGCACGUAGGCGGCUUUCUAAGUCGGGGGUGAAAUCCUGGAGCUCAACUCCAGAACUGCCUUCGAUACUGGAGAGCUCGAGUCCGGGAGAGGUGAGUGGAACUGCGAGUGUAGAGGUGAAAUUCGUAGAUAUUCGCAAGAACACCAGUGGCGAAGGCGGCCAACUGGUCCGAAACUGACGCUGAGGCGCGAAAGCGUGGGGAGCAAACAGG
rnacentral:rRNA from 1 species